CCUACGGGAGGCAGCAGUGAGGAAUAUUGGUCAAUGGACGAGAGUCUGAACCAGCCAAGUAGCGUGAAGGAUGACUGCCCUAUGGGUUGUAAACUUCUUUUAUAAAGGAAUAAAACGAGGCACGUGUGCCUUUUUGCAUGUACUUUAUGAAUAAGGAUCGGCUAACUCCGUGCCAGCAGCCGCGGUAAUACGGAGGAUCCGAGCGUUAUCCGGAUUUAUUGGGUUUAAGGGGAGCGUAGAUGGGUUGUUAAGUCAGUUGUGAAAGUUUGCGGCUCAACCGUAAAAUUGCAAUUGAUACUGGCAGUCUUGAGUACAGUUGAGGUAGGCGGAAUUCGUGGUGUAGCGGUGAAAUGCUUAGAUAUCACGAAGAACCCCGAUUGCGAAGGCAGCUUACUAAACUGUGACUGACAUUGAUGCACGAAAGCGUGGGUAUCGAACAGGAUUAGAUACCCCUGUAGUC
rnacentral:rRNA from 1 species